rnacentral:misc_RNA from 1 species
UGGGGCUAAGAGAUCAAGCUUAAAUUGAAGUGAUUGAAGCAGAUUCAUCCCAUCUUGAGCAAGACCAUUCAAUCUUGGAAGUGAACUUUUCUCUUCUGAAAUUAAUCUUGUUGUUCCUGAUUUUCCAUAUUCAUGAAUAGAUUUGAUGUGUUCUUGAGUCUGUUUGUAUGUUUCUUCCAACUCUUUCUUCACAUUUUCUACUUCUUCCACCACUUGAUCCAUUUGGGGUUCCUUCAAUGGUGAGAUUUUGCAGAGAAGAAAAGGUUUUUGGGAAAUUCGUGGGAAGAAG